rnacentral:lncRNA from 1 species
UAAUUAUCGUCUUUUCAAAUCCACCGUCCAGUCAUAAUGAUAACAGGUUACCAAUUUAAUGCUUUGUCUCUGCUAUCCUUUAAUGAAAACCUUUCCCUUUCUUCAAUCCGAAGGAUUUGGCCAGAGAUUUCCUACCGUUCUCCGAACCACUUUUGGGACUUCCUUCUCCAGGUAAAAACUUUCUCUUCUUCUAAGAGCCUCAUUUGCUAUAGUAUGGGCAUAAAUAUUCUGUGCUUUAGGGACGAAAGUAAACUCAAUCUCCUGGAACCUGUUUUUUAGACUUUGGAUAUCUGUGAUAAUUGCUCCAAUGACUGAUUUAUCCGUGAAGAAGCUUUGACAUUUCUUGAUAACAGUUUUGGAAUCUCCUAAAACUGUUAAUUUAUUGACUCCCAGUCUAAUCCCUAAUUUUAUUGCCUGUAACCCUGCAUAUGCCUCUGCUGUGAAUGGAUCUGCAAUGUUGGAGUGAAUGACUGCCUGUGAUGCAAGAAUCUCUCUAUUCUCGUUCCGUACUAUUAUACCUGAAGCCGAUCUGAACUCCAGACGAUCGUAAGCUGCAUCAAAAUGAAUGAAGGUCCAUCCCCUUUUGUGUAUCUGUUGGAGAUUGUCAGAUGAAUGGAGAGUAAGAUUUCUUACUUUUGUUACUGCAAGUUCUGUAAUAUAGACUCUGAUUUUCCUCGCUAUUUCUGAUCCUGACAUGAGUCUUUUUUCAUAUACGAGAUGAUUUCUACUAAACCAGAUGAACUAAAGGCUACAACAGAAAAGUUGAAGCUGCUCUUCAUUACCUCGAUCAAAAACCCAGGUAAGCCAUCCUCACAUGUUAUUUAUACUCUGAUUCAGCACCCACGAUAAAUUUAACUGAUUCCAAACUUUCAUUGAUCUAGGGUACUGAAUAAAAAUAUGCCAGCUAUUUUCUUCGGCACAACCGCACCUGGGACAAAGAGUGUUCAUCACUACCCUCUUUAUUUUAAGGUUGACAAAGGAAGGGAUAAAAUCCCAAGAAAUCCUCCAAAUUGUCAUCUGAAUCUUUGAAGGGAUAUGUAACUUCCAUAAUUUGUUGUAGAAAUUUUUUGUCUCGGUAUGUAAUAAUAAAUCAUUAGGGUCCAGAUUAGAACCAUGUAAUAGUUUAUAGGCACUCCUCACCGAGAACUCCCCUGUCGGUUCUCCUCUCCAUACUUGAAGAUUUUCUUGUUCUGUCUCCGCAAGAGGGAUUUGUAAUAUUUGCUCUGCAACAUCUGGUUGAAAGGUAUUUCUUAUCAGUUCUGUUUUCCAGCUCCUGCUAUUUGGCUCAAUUAAAUCCAAGACUAAUUUAACAUUUUCAUUGUCUUCUUGAAUCGUGAUUCUGUCAGCUUCGAUCCCCGGUAUCCAUGAAUCUCCCUAUAUGGAAAUUUGAUCACCUCUCCCCACCCUCCAACAGCGUUCAUUAUCAAGAAGUCCUCUCGCAACCCAUAUACUUUUCCAGGUAAAUGAAGGUAAAUUCCCCAACUGAGCUUUGUAGAAAUCUGAAUUGGGAAAAUAUUUUUCUUUCAAAACACGGGCCAAUAAUGAACUUAGAUAAUUAAUAAGACGCCAUCGCUGCUUCGCUAAUAAUGCAACGUUAAAUUUAGCAAAAUCAUGAAAAUCGAGACCCCCAUAUUCUUUUAAUAGACAUAUAUCCUUUCAAGCGCACCAGUGGAUACCUUUUUUAUUAAAUCUCUUUUGCCUCAAGAAGUUGGCUAUUAUUCUAUCCAAAUCUGUACAAAGUGUCUUAGGGAGUAGAACACAACCAUCGAGUAUGUUGGAAUAGCUUGGAGAACUGCCUUAAUAAACACUUCCUUUCCUCAUUGUGAGAGAUACCUAAUACUCCAACUGUUGAUUUUUUGCUUGAGUUUGUCCUUCAAAUUUUGAAAAGAUAAUCUCUUUCUUUUCCCCACCAUACUAGGAAGUCCUAGAUAUCGCUCAAAAUCAUUAGCUCUUCUGACUCCAAGGAUCUGUGAAACAACACUCCUUUCACUCUCUUUUGUAUUAGUACUGAAGAAAACAGUCGAUUUUUCAAAAUUCACAUAUUGCCCAGAACUUGUCUCGUAUUCUUGUAGUAUCUAUUUUAAUGAAUGUGCUCUCCUAUCCGUAGCUUCUGCAAAUAAAAUACAAUAAUCUGCAAAUAGUAAAUGGGAGAUAGCUGGCCCUCUUCGACUUGCUUUAACACAUUUAAAAACAUUAUCCUCUUUUGCUAACCUCAUUUAAAACAAUAUUUGUUUUAUUAAUUGAAUGUAACUCCAUACCUUUGUUUAAUCUUUGGAGACAAAAAAUUGGAGACGUCAUCCCCAACAAUUAACCAACACUUUUGAUAGAAUAAGGCUGGGAAACCAUCCUCUCUCGGUGCUUUUGUAUGACCCAUUCCUGAAAGAGCUUCCCGAAUUUCCUCCUUUGUGAACCUUGCCUUCAGUUUAAUGUUAUCUUCCUCAGAAAUACACCUUCUAAUACCUGUCAAGAUAUUCUCAAAGUUAUUUUGCCCUCCUGUUGAAAACAAAUGUAAAAAGUACGAUCUCCAUAUCCUUCUAUUCAUCCGUCUCCCUGCCGUCUUCACCCAGCAGCUUGUGGAUUCUAUUUUGCUUCCUUCGUUGCGAUUCUUGUUUAUGAAAAAAAGUUGUAUUUCUGUCUCCCAUUUUCAACCAAUUAAUUCUGGCCCUCUGCUCCCAAUAGCUUUCAUCCUUCUCAAUUUCUAAAUUCAGAUGGAUUUUUGUGUCAAUAAUCUCUGCCAAGUUCUCCUCACUUCUAUCCGCUUCAAGCAACAUUUCUAAUUUUGACAAUAAGACCUCCUUUUUCAUCCUUUUAUUCUGUUGGAACCGGACACUCCACCUUUGUAACCCUCGUUUUAAAUUUUCUAGCUUCUUCACAAGGUCUCCUAUUGAGUUUUCCCAAAUACUUUUAGUCUCAUCCAAAAAUGUCUCUUCCAAAAUCCACCAUGCUUCAAACCUGAACAUCUGAUCUGCUAUCCUUUUAACUCUGUGAUCCGUAUCAAUAAGAAGUAGACAAUGGUCUGAGAAUGAAUGUGGGAGGUGUUGAAUUAGAAAAUUUGGAAAUAAGUCACUCCAUCGUUCUGUUGCCACUCCUUUAUCUAAUCUUUCUUGGAUAUUAGUUUCUGGCAGAUUUCUCCUCUCCCACGUAAACCUCUUACCUGAAUAACCCAAAUCCACUAAACAACAAUAUUCCAAAGCCUUCUGAAAUGCUUCCAUCCUUCUCUUUUCUCUAGGCAAACCACCUUUCUUCUCAAAACCAUAUAAGAUUUCAUUAAAAUCCCCACAAACCAGCCAUAAGUCAUCUCCCUGGUUUCUUAAUUGUCGCAACAAGUUCCAUGAUUCCUCCCUAUCAUAUGAAUAAGGGGAACCAUAAAAACCUGUAAAUCUCCACUUUUCUCCACCUCCUUCUUCCUCAAUGAUCACAUCAAUAUGUCUACUUGAAAAAAUCUGUAGUGCAAUACUAGCAUUCCCUCUCCAUGCUAAACAAAGUCCUCCUCUAGAUCCAAUCGAAUCCACAUCAAUUCCAAAGUGAAAUCCACAACUUCUUUGAAUUUUUUCCAUUUUUUUUGUUUAUUUUUGUCUCCAUUAAGAAGAUCACUUGGGGAUAAUGUUUCUUCAGCGAAUGCCGAAGUCGAUGAACUGUCCGAGGAUUCCCCAAACCUCGGAUAUUCCAACUUAAUAUUUUCAUUGCGAUCGGUCAGCUUGCCUCUUAGCAUCCGCCGAUAAUAAAUGAUUGGAUCCCUGUACUUUCCUAUCUCUCCCUUCCAUCUCCCUACUAUCCUUAAUAUCCUUUCUCCCUCUCUUUUUUCCCUCUUCUCUUAUAAUCAUCUCAUUCUCCAACUCCUGUUCUAUAGCCAUUUGACUAUAAUCAUUUAAAGGUCUAACCCUUUCUAUUUGUGAGGAGAACCCAUUACCUUCCAAAUUAAAUCCUAAAAUAGGAUCAACACUUCCCCUAAAAUUUCCUACGCUUCCCCUUUCAUUAUUUCCUCCGCUUAUUCCUCCCCCAGAACCUCCUUCCUCCCUUAACCAUACACUCUUUAUUGCUUGGGCUCUCCUUGAUUGUGCACGCAAAGAUAAAUCCCAUCCCAUCAUAUCAACUUCAACCCCUGCCUCUAUUUUUGCUUCACAAAAGGAGUCAUUAUGUCCAAGACGGCCAUAGUAGAAGCAAAAAAGAGUCAAUCUUUCGUACUUAAAUCUAACAUAAGAGCACUUGUUAUUAAACAUAACCUGCUUUUUCCUUUUGAGAGGGCACCGAAUGUCAACUUGAAUUCUUAUCCUCAUGAAAUUCAUAUUUUCUUUCCCCAAACUAGAUCCAUCGUAUUCUUGAAAAAUUCCAAUAAAAUUCCCUAACUGCAUCGUUAAAUUAUCAGAGUAAAACCCAAUGGGCAUAUCAUGUAUUUGAACCCAAAACGGUGAUGAGAUUAAAGGAACUUUUAGUGGAUCUUCCCCCCUUGCAACUUGUGUAAAAUUAGUAGAUGAUUAUUGAAUGUCCAAGGAUCCCCUUUAAUAACUCUUUCCAUAUCAAUAACAUGGAAAAAAUUAAACAAGUACCUUUUUUCCCCCAUAUCUGUAAUUUGAACACCCUUGACCGGAUGCCAUAGAUUAGCCAUGGUACUUUUCAUUGCUGGAUAAUGGAUGAUACUGGCUGUAAGAAAACAACGAACCAGACUAAGAGAUUCUUCAUUAUUAACUAAAUCUGAGUCAUUUUGUGCUUGCAGGAUCUCUUCUUCAUCAUCAUCAAGAGAUAAACCCGCAAAUUCUGAUUCCAUGGAUGCUGUACUCGAAUCCUCCGUUAAAGAAAUCACUUCAAAUCAAUGGAGAUGAAUGCCGCCAAAACAAGAAAACACAAGAAAAAAACUUGCCAGAGAAGCAGACAGAGACGUGCUAGGGUAGCAGACUAUGGAAUAAGUUUUAACUAAUUUUUAAAAGUAAUAAAUACUAAUUAAAUAAAUCUAACAUCAUAAUAGUAAAACAACAUAUAUUAGAUAUUAAAAUCACUAUAAACAUAAUUCUUUAUAAAUCAAUGAAAAAAUUAUAAAUGAUAAAAUAAUUGAUUCGGAUGCAAAGUAUUUUUCUUUCUCAUGUCAUUAUUAUUACCACGAUGCCA